rnacentral:lncRNA from 1 species
AGUAAUUCCAUCUAACCCCAGAGUACAAUAGAGCAAUUAUCAAAACAGUGAAGCAUGUAUGUCAAUCAUCAAAACUGAGAUUGAAACAUAAGAUCAGAGAGGGCUUUGGAGCUUAGAGUGCUCAAUGAUAUUUUACAAGGAAACCUCAAAUUACCACAGAUUAUAAAUCGUUCAUGUGCUUCUAAACCUCCAAAAUGAAUGAGGCCCUAUGCCUCAGAGUCUACUCAAUCCUUUCUUUUCAGAACCACUUUGUUACACACCAGAAGACCAAUAAUUUAAUGUUCUAUUUGUGUACAUGCUUACCUAGUAGACUUUGUUACUCCUAACAUCUAUAAUCAAGACUUAUGUUGAGUUGUCAAGUUCUCUCUAGAUAUGAAUUUGCAGUCCAAACAAAACUUUCUAUCUAGUUUCUUUAUAAGAAAUAAAUUAAUUUAAGAACGUGUAACUCCACUCUUUUAUGUGAUAAGAUGCUUCUUCUGCGUUUUAAAACACAUGUUGGCUAUUUUAAAAUCAAAAGCUUAGAAGAAAUCUAGGAUAGUCCUAUCCUUUCAUAUUUGAUUCCAGUAUGUCAUAACCCCAUGAAAACAUUCAAAUGCUCUAAUGUCAUUCUCUUCAUGCCAUUAAGAUCCCUUCCUAAGAAACUCUAUUCUUCUAAAGGUAUUUCAUAGACUAUGCCUUCCAAAUCCUCCCAAAUUUUUAUCUUAUAAUAUUCCUCUAGCCAUAUCGGACUAAUCACAUUAAAGGAGGUGUCUUUUUUUGAUACAAACUUUAGGAUUAUGAUCCUAUUCUCCUAUUCUUUUUAUAUCCACCAUGAAAUCUAGGAUAAUCCUAUCCUUUCAUAGAUGAUCAAUUUUACGUUCUUCUUUCAUUCCCUAACUACAAUUUUAUCAAUCUUGUCUUACGGGAGGAAAUUCUGAGAUUUUCAAUUUUAUCAAUCCUAUCUCCUACAUAAAAUUCAAAGAUGAUCAAUUUUAUGUCAUUCUUUCAUCCCCUAUCUCCAAUUAUAUCUACAUAAAAUUCAGAGAUGAUCAAUUUUACGUCCUUCUUUCAUUCCCUAUCUACAAUUUUAUCAAUCUUACUGUACUACCACAACUUAAAAGUCUCAUUCAUGUGCCUUGUUCCCAACCUAUUUAGUUUCUUGUGGAUAUAUAAAAUUGAUCACUCUCCUAAUCAUUAUGUCUACUAUUUUUUAUUGAUUUACUUGUUCCUAUUCAUAUCGUAGAUCGUAAACUAGUUUCUUUACCUACACCUACUGAGUAGCCCUUACUUUUUUGAUAUUGUACUUAGAUGAUAUACCACAUUGCUUAUGGAUAAUGAAAAUGGACCCUCUCCAUUAUUGGAGGGUCCAGUAUCACAUAAGAUUGUGACAUGUAGACUUUAAAAAAAUUGAUAGUUCAUAUUUUAAAAUAUUUUUAGGCAAAAACUUACUAGAAAUGAUGAAAUAAAUAUGGGUCUCACAUUCCAGUAUUGGACCCUCCAGUACUGGAGAGGAUCCCGGGCUCAUGGAUAAUGGCCUAACAUUAUCACAUCGUCGAUCCAUAUCAGAGAUUCAACAAAGUUUUAUAUUAGUUGACUGCACAAUACAACUUCCACCUUUUAUCCUAACCUAACUCACACUGUUAGUGACAUUUUUUAUUUUUAAAUGGGUAAUAUUAAAAGGAAGAGUAAAUUACACGACACCCAUGAGUUUUAGCGAAAUUACACAAAUCACCCCUCAAUUUUUUACACCUACAUAAACCCUGCCAAUUUUUAUACUUUCAUUACACGGACCACCGCUUGAUAAAUAAGUGUAAUCUUUUAAACAAAAAUGUGAUAAAUGCAAUUAAGUCAAACAAAACAUGGUAUGGAAUUACAGGAAGUAGAAAAUGGAGCUGCAAUUGCUUCUGUGACAGAAAUUUCAGAGGGUCAGCAAAAAGUUGUGGUGAAAGAUGAUUCAGGAGUGCAAGUAUCUUCCCAUGGGAGAGUUUUUCUCCUUGGAGAGAAUCGAUGGGAAGAACCUUCAAGACUUGUUGCAACUCCUGGAGUCGACAGGACCAAGAACAAGGAUGGAACAACAAAAUGCCUUCAAUGUCGCGGGGAAGGUCAAUUGUUAUGUACGGGUAUGAAAUUUUGCUUAUAUUUUAAUGAAACUUCAGUAUCCUUUAGUAGGUUCAUAGUGCAUUGUUCUGGAAGACAACUUUCAUUGUUAAACUACAUUUAAUUUGAUAUAAGCUUCAAGAAGCAGUGCUGUUCAUAAAGGGUAACAUAUUGUAUUUUCUAGAACAGGUUUUUCUAAUCCUCGUGCUGAACUGGUAUUAGUUUUCUUCUGUACCCUUUGCCUUCUAUAUAUUCUUCUUUGGAGGAAUUGAUAACUUAGGUAUGCCUUUGUUUCUUCAUGCAUGCUUCACAUCAUAAGGAAACAACUUCUAACAUAGACUGCUAGGUUUAUGAUAAUAUUAAUCUGUAUUUGGAUCUCUUACAAUAACCAUUACAAAGGAAAUCAUAAGACCGAUUUUUGACAGAUUGGUAUGUGUAUUAUUUUUAUGAACACUUAUGAAAAUUUCUCAGUCAACUUCCAUUUCUUUUAUUGCAGAAUGUGACGGAUCAGGUGAACCAAAUAUUGAACCCCAAGUAAGGGAUAUUUAAAUUUUGUAAAGAAAAAUUACUUUUGUUCUUAUUUUCCUGAGUUGCACAAGCUUUUGAACUUACCAAUGAGUUCUCUAAUGCAGUUUAUGGAGUGGGUGGGUGAGACUACAAAAUGUCCAUAUUGUGAAGGCCUAGGCUAUACUCCAUGUGAUCUGUGUGGAGGGAAAGCUACAGUAUAAGUAUGACAUACAUUCUUCAGCUAUUCAUGCAUGUAUAUUGUUGUCAAUAUCAAUGCAUCACAAAAAUUGGUUGUUCCUGAAUGUUCUCAACUGGAAAAGAAAGUAAUUCCAUCUAACCCCAGAGUACAAUAGAGCAAUUAUCAAAACAGUGAAGCAUGUAUGUCAAUCAUCAAAACUGAGAUUGAAACAUAAGAUCAGAGAGGGCUUUGGAGCUUAGAGUGCUCAAUGAUAUUUUACAAGGAAACCUCAAAUUACCACAGAUUAUAAAUCGUUCAUGUGCUUCUAAACCUCCAAAAUGAAUGAGGCCCUAUGCCUCAGAGUCUACUCAAUCCUUUCUUUUCAGAACCACUUUGUUACACACCAGAAGACCAAUAAUUUAAUGUUCUAUUUGUGUACAUGCUUACCUAGUAGACUUUGUUACUCCUAACAUCUAUAAUCAAGACUUAUGUUGAGUUGUCAAGUUCUCUCUAGAUAUGAAUUUGCAGUCCAAACAAAACUUUCUAUCUA